UACGUAGGGGGCAAGCGUUGUCCGGAUUUAUUGGGCGUAAAGAGCUCGUAGGCGGUUUGUCGCGUCGUUCGUGAAAACUCCACGCUUAACGUGGAGCGUGCGGGCGAUACGGGCAGACUUGAGUUCGGUAGGGGAGACUGGAAUUCCUGGUGUAGCGGUGAAAUGCGCAGAUAUCAGGAGGAACACCGGUGGCGAAGGCGGGUCUCUGGGCCGAUACUGACGCUGAGGAGCGAAAGCGUGGGGAGCGAACAGG
rnacentral:rRNA from 1 species